UCGCAGAAAAAUGGCACGCCAGCCACCGACAAACAAAUCUCGAUUGACGCCGACUAUCCACCGAAAAGUACCAACGAGGCACCUGAGACACCAUUAGAAAGAGCUCGGAGAUUUAAGGUAGAAGGAAAUCAUUACUUUAAGAUAGGAAAAUAUGAUGAGGCAAUUGUCCAAUACAAUAAUGCAAUUCAAACAUGUCCAAAUGAGAAUACCGAAGAUCUUGCUACAUUUUACCAGAACAGGGCAGCAGCGUAUGAUCAACUG